GAUGAACGCUAGCUACAGGCUUAACACAUGCAAGUCGAGGGGCAUCAGGAAGAAAGCUUGCUUUCUUUGCUGGCGACCGGCGCACGGGUGAGUAACACGUAUCCAACCUGCCCUUUACUCGGGGAUAGCCUUUCGAAAGAAAGAUUAAUACCCGAUAGCAUAAUGAUUCCGCAUGGUUUCAUUAUUAAAGGAUUCCGGUAAAGGAUGGGGAUGCGUUCCAUUAGGUUGUUGGUGAGGUAACGGCCCACCAAGCCUUCGAUGGAUAGGGGUUCUGAGAGGAAGGUCCCCCACAUUGGAACUGAGACACGGUCCAAACUCCUACGGGAGGCAGCAGUGAGGAAUAUUGGUCAAUGGGCGCUAGCCUGAACCAGCCAAGUAGCGUGAAGGAUGAAGGCUCUAUGGGUCGUAAACUUCUUUUAUAUAAGAAUAAAGUGCAGUAUGUAUACUGUUUUGUAUGUAUUAUAUGAAUAAGGAUCGGCUAACUCCGUGCCAGCAGCCGCGGUAAUACGGAGGAUCCGAGCGUUAUCCGGAUUUAUUGGGUUUAAAGGGAGCGUAGGUGGACUGGUAAGUCAGUUGUGAAAGUUUGCGGCUCAACCGUAAAAUUGCAGUUGAUACUGUCAGUCUUGAGUACAGUAGAGGUGGGCGGAAUUCGUGGUGUAGCGGUGAAAUGCUUAGAUAUCACGAAGAACUCCGAUUGCGAAGGCAGCUCACUGGACUGCAACUGACACUGAUGCUCGAAAGUGUGGGUAUCAAACAGGAUUAGAUACCCUGGUAGUCCACACAGUAAACGAUGAAUACUCGCUGUUUGCGAUAUACAGUAAGCGGCCAAGCGAAAGCAUUAAGUAUUCCACCUGGGGAGUACGCCGGCAACGGUGAAACUCAAAGGAAUUGACGGGGGCCCGCACAAGCGGAGGAACAUGUGGUUUAAUUCGAUGAUACGCGAGGAACCUUACCCGGGCUUAAAUUGCAGUGGAAUGAUGUGGAAACAUGUCAGUGAGCAAUCACCGCUGUGAAGGUGCUGCAUGGUUGUCGUCAGCUCGUGCCGUGAGGUGUCGGCUUAAGUGCCAUAACGAGCGCAACCCUUAUCUUUAGUUACUAACAGGUUAUGCUGAGGACUCUAGAGAGACUGCCGUCGUAAGAUGUGAGGAAGGUGGGGAUGACGUCAAAUCAGCACGGCCCUUACGUCCGGGGCUACACACGUGUUACAAUGGGGGGUACAGAAGGCAGCUAGCGGGUGACCGUAUGCUAAUCCCAAAAUCCUCUCUCAGUUCGGAUCGAAGUCUGCAACCCGACUUCGUGAAGCUGGAUUCGCUAGUAAUCGCGCAUCAGCCACGGCGCGGUGAAUACGUUCCCGGGCCUUGUACACACCGCCCGUCAAGCCAUGGGAGCCGGGGGUACCUGAAGUACGUAACCGCAAGGAUCGUCCUAGGGUAAAA
rnacentral:rRNA from 1 species